GCAUUCCGGGAAAGGGGGGGCUGCCGGCGCCGUGCGGGAAACACAUUUUGCUGGACAGUGUAGUAACCUGAAAGUCCCAGAAGUGCCAGUAGCAGACUGAUUUAUAUCUGAGUUAUCUUUCUGGAGGAAUAUGUCACAUUACUAAAAUGGGUGAUGGGAAGCAUUAUUAUGUCUCUCCCGAAAACGCCAGCCUCACCGUUAAACUCCCCAGCAUCUUAUGACCCUAGGAAGUCAAAAGUAUCUGCGGUCAAGGAGACAAGAGGUGAUCACAGAUAUGGAUCUUCCUGGAAUGCAUCCAGACAGAAACAUCCCUAUCAGCACCUUCCUUUUAGCCUGGUGAGACCUGCAUUGGCCCUCUGACCUAUAGAACUGGGAUAAUAAAUCUGUGUUGCUUAAGCUAAGUUCACAG